rnacentral:rRNA from 1 species
UCUUCGGAAUUAGAGACCGGCGCACGGGUGCGUAACGCGUAUGCAAUCUACCUUUUACAGAGGGAUAGCCCAGAGAAAUUUGGAUUAAUACCUCAUAGUAUAGCAGUUUCGCAUGAAACCACUAUUAAAGUCACAACGGUAAAAGAUGAGCAUGCGUCCCAUUAGCUAGUUGGUAAGGUAACGGCUUACCAAGGCUACGAUGGGUAGGGGUCCUGAGAGGGAGAUCCCCCACACUGGUACUGAGACACGGACCAGACUCCUACGGGAGGCAGCAGUGAGGAAUAUUGGACAAUGGGCGCAAGCCUGAUCCAGCCAUGCCGCGUGCAGGAUGACGGUCCUAUGGAUUGUAAACUGCUUUUAUACAGGAAGAAACCCUGGUUCGUGAACCAGCUUGACGGUACUGUAAGAAUAAGGAUCGGCUAACUCCGUGCCAGCAGCCGCGGUAAUACGGAGGAUCCAAGCGUUAUCCGGAAUCAUUGGGUUUAAAGGGUCCGUAGGCGGUUUAAUAAGUCAGUGGUGAAAGCCCAUCGCUCAACGGUGGAACGGCCAUUGAUACUGUUAAACUUGAAUUAUUAGGAAGUAACUAGAAUAUGUAGUGUAGCGGUGAAAUGCUUAGAGAUUACAUGGAAUACCAAUUGCGAAGGCAGGUUACUACUAAUGGAUUGACGCUGAUGGACGAAAGCGUGGGUAGCGAACAGGAUUAGAUACC